GAAAUGCGAUAAGUAAUGUGAAUUGCAGAAUUCCGUGAAUCAUCGAAUCUUUGAACGCACAUUGCGCCCUCUGGUAUUCCGGGGGGCAUGCCUGUCCGAGCGUCAUUGCGAACCACAAGCACGGCUUGUGUGAUGGGCCCUCCCGCGUCUUGGUCGUCAAGACGGGCCCGAAAUGCAGUGGCGGCUUCGCGGUUAUCCGAUCAGCCAGAGCGUAUGGGGACUCUCUCUCUUGUCACACGCCCGCGGCGCGGACCGACGCCUGUCGACCUUUAUUCAUCUUCUCUCGGUUGACCUCGGAUCAGGUAGGGAUACCCGCUGAACUUAAGC
rnacentral:misc_RNA from 1 species